AUUCCCGUUGAUCCUGCGGGAGGUUGCUGCUAUUCGGAUUCGACUAAGCCAUGCAAGUCAACUCACUUCGGUGGGUGGCGAAAUGCUCAGUAACACGUCAAUAAUCUGCCCUUAAGUCAGGCAUAACCUCGGGAAACUGGGAUUAAAACCUGAUAGGAAAAUUCUACUGGAAUGUGUUUUUUCUUAAAAGUAAUGCUUAAGGAUGAGUUGGCGGCCGAUUAGAUUGUUGGUGGGGUAGUGGCCCACCAAGUCCUCGAUCGGUACGGGUCCUGAGAGGGAUAGCCCGGAGAAGGACAAUUAGAUACUGGUCCUAGCCCUACGGGGUGCAGCAGUUACGAAACCUUUACAAUGCACGCAAGUGUGCUAAGGGGAUUCUGAGUGCUUAUGUAUUGCAUAGGC
rnacentral:rRNA from 1 species